CCCGAUGGAGGACCGAACCGACCCCCGUUGAAACGUUGGCGGAUGAGUUGUGGCUAGGGGUGAAAUUCCAAUCGAACUCGGAGAUAGCUGGUUCUCCCCGAAAUAGCUUUAGGGCUAGCGUCGAGGUAAAGUCGUGUGAAGGUAGAGCACUGAAUAUGUGAUGGCCCCAUCUCGGGGUACUGAACAUAAUCAAACUCCGAAUGUCACAAAGAUAUACUCGGCAGUCAGACAGUGGGUGAUAAGGUCCAUUGUCAAAAGGGAAACAGCCCAGACCAUCAGCUAAGGUCCCAAAAUAUAUACUAAGUGGAAAAGGAUGUGGAGAUGUCCAGACAACUAGGAGGUUGGCUCAGAAGCAGCCAUCCUUUAAAGAGUGCGUAACAGCUCACUAGUCGAAUGACUCUGCGCCGAUAAUUUACCGGGGCUAAGUAUAUUACCGAAGCUAUGGAUUUACGCGUAAGCGUGAGUGGUAGGGGAGCGUUCUAUGUGCGGAGAAGCGGUACCGUAAGGAGCCGUGGAGCGCAUAGAAGAGAGAAUGCCGGUGUGAGUAGCGAAACGUGGGUGAGAAUCCCACGCACCGAAAACCCAAGGUUUCCAGAGGAAGGUUCGUCCGCUCUGGGUAAGUCGGGACCUAAGGCGAGGCCGAGAGGCGUAGUCGAUGGACAACAGGUAGAGAUUCCUGUACUUACGGUAUGAAUGAUGGAGUGACGGAGAAGGCUAGCGGAUCCUGCUGAUGGAAAUGCAGGUGCAAGCGAGGUAGCCGACAGCCAGGCAAAUCCGGCUGUCGAAAGGCAAAGGCGUGAGGCGUAUGGAAAGCUGCGGCAAGUACAGAAGUCCGUGAAGCCAGCUUCCAAGAAAAGCUUCUAGUGAUAAUCAUACAGUAACCCGUACCGAAAAUGGACACACAUGGGUGAGGAGAGAAUCCUAAGGUGAGCGAGAGAACUAUAGCUAAGGAACUCUGCAAAAUGACUCCGUAACUUAGGGAUAAGGAGUGCUCAUAGAGAUAUGAGCCGCAGUGAAACGGCCCAAGCGACUGUUUACCAAAAACACAGCUCUAUGCUAAGUCGAAAGACGACGUAUAUGGGGUGACGCCUGCCCGGUGCUGGAAGGUUAAGAGGAUGUGUCAGCGCAAGCGAAGCAUUGAAUUGAAGCCCCAGUAAACGGCGGCCGUAACUAUAACGGUCCUAAGGUAGCGAAAUUCCUUGUCAGGUA
rnacentral:rRNA from 1 species